GAUGAAGAACGUAGCGAAAUGCGAUAACUAGUGUGAAUUGCAGAUUUCAGUGAAUCAUCGAGUCUUUGAACGCACAUUGCGCCCCCUGGUAUUCCGGGGGGCAUGCCUGUCCGAGCGUCAUUGCUGCCCUCAAGCACGGCUUGUGUGUUGGGCCCCGUCCUCCGAUCCCGGGGGACGGGCCCGAAAGGCAGCGGCGGCACCGCGUCCGGUCCUCGAGCGUAUGGGGCUUUGUCACCCGCUCUGUAGGCCCGGCCGGCGCUUGCCGAUCAACCCAAAUUUUUAUCCAGGUUGACCUCGGAUCAGGUAGGGAUACCCGCUGAACUUAAGCAUAUCAAUAAGCGGAGGA
rnacentral:misc_RNA from 1 species